UGAAACUUCUCCCUCUUCAAGAGCUUUCUGGAAAAGAUUUAGAAUUCUCUUAUUGAGAUUGUAGAACAGACCCAAACUUCAUGGGACAUGAAGUCCUGUGUGGAGGGCUCAAGAUGACAGGCAAACUGUAGAAUUUUUAACAUGCUGUUGGAGAUUUAGGUCAUUUACAUAAAAUUCAUUUGGAUAUGAAUCUGUAGAUCGUGUACUUGAGAAAGUAUGUUUGGAAAUAUGUCCCCGGAUGCAAAUUACAUACAAGCAAAGGUCUAUGAAUGUAACUGGAGACUUGAUCUAUAUGUUCAAUUAUGAUAAUCUCCAUUUGUCUCUGACAGGAAAUGACCAUGGUGUAAUGGUGGAAAUAGACUUAGUAGAGCUUGGAGGAUGAUGGAGUUAAUGAGGAGUCAAAUCUCCUAAUCUGCAUGAUUGGGGUGAAGGUGGGACUAUUCACCUGAUAAGAAAGAUGGGAGAAACAAUAGCCAUUCUGUGUGGCGAAUGCAACUUUGACUCUAAGAAAUCUUUUAUGCAGGUGGAGACAUAGCUUCUUCAACCAGUGAAAGAAAUAAUAUCUGAUUUCUUGAAUAGUUUCAUGGUGCCACCAACAAAAAUCAUCAUAGACCAACAAUGGCAAGAUGGCAUCAGCAAGAAUGAGCUAGUAUGAGGAGGUGCUCAACCCAUCCCACCACCAUGGGAAAUAAUGUGGUCAACUGCCAAGAGCGUAACUGUUUACUUUCCUGUCUCCCUAGAAACUGUAGGUUCUAUGCGGGCAACACUCUGGAUCUCCUUCGUUGUUGACUAGCCAGUGCUAACACUGUGGUGGGCCCAGAAAAGGUGCUCAAUAAAGGGGUGUUGAGAUAAAUUGAAUUGAGAUCCCCUAAAGAUUGGCCAUAGAGUCUUAGUUAUCUCAGGAUGCUGGUGGAAUCGAAUCACAAGCAAGAGAUGUUUCCUAUGAGUGGAAGGUUUAGGGUGCUGUGGAGGCUUCUGUAUGCAGAAAAGGUUAUUCAGUGGUUUACUUUGGAAUACACAAUAGGAAGAUACACCAGAGAGCUUGCUCCCUGUCUCCACCGUUGUGAGGUCUUAGCGAGAAAGCAGUGGCCUACAAGCCAGGAAGCGGACCUUCACCAGAACCCAAACAUGCUGGCACCCUGAUCUCAGACUUCCAGCCUCCAGAACUGUGAAAAAUAAAUUUGUGUUGUUUAAGCCUCCUAGGCUAUGGUAUUUUGUUAUGGCAUCCCAAACUGAAUAAUAGCACCUUCUAAAAUUUUGGGGGUAAUUUUUCACACAUUUCCAAAUUAAUAUUCAAAAUUUUCUAUCAUAAACUUAAAUAGUUGCAAAGACUGCAAUUUCCAAC
rnacentral:lncRNA from 1 species